GAUGAACGCUGGCGGCGUGCCUAAUACAUGCAAGUCGAGCGAACGGACGAGAAGCUUGCUUUUCUGAUGUUAGCGGCGGACGGGUGAGUAACACGUGGAUAACCUACCUAUAAGACUGGGAUAACUUCGGGAAACCGGAGCUCAUACCGGAUAAUAUUUUGAACCGCAUGGUUCAAAAGUGAAAGACGGUCUUGCUGUCACUUAUAGAUGGAUCCGCGCUGCAUUAGCUAGUUGGUAAGGUAACGGCUUACCAAGGCAACGAUGCAUAGCCGACCUGAGAGGGUGAACGGCCACACUGGAACUGAGACACGGUCCAGACUCCUACGGGAGGCAGCAGUAGGGAAUCUUCCGCAAUGGGCGAAAGCCUGACGGAGCAACGCCGCGUGAGUGAUGAAGGUCUUCGGAUCGUAAAACUCUGUUAUUAGGGAAGAACAUAUGUGUAAGUAACUGUGCACAUCUUGACGGUACCUAAUCAGAAAGCCACGGCUAACUACGUG
rnacentral:rRNA from 1 species